GAUGAACGCUGGCGGCGUGCCUAAUACAUGCAAGUCGAGCGAACGGACGAGAAGCUUGCUUCUCUGAUGUUAGCGGCGGACGGGUGAGUAACACGUGGAUAACCUACCUAUAAGACUGGGAUAACUUCGGGAAACCGGAGCUAAUACCGGAUGAUAUUUUGAACCGCAUGGUUCAAAAGUGAAAGACGGUCUUGCUGUCACUUAUAGAUGGAUCCGCGCUGCAUUAGCUAGUUGGUAAGGUAACGGCUUACCAAGGAAACGAUGCAUAGCCGAUCUGAGAGGGUGAUCGGCCACACUGGAACUGAGACACGGUCCAGACUCCUACGGGAGGCAGCAGUAGGGAAUCUUCCGCAAAGGGCGAAAGCCUGACGGAGCAACGCCGCGUGAGUGAUGAAGGUCUUCGGAUCGUAAAACUCUGUUAUUAGGGAAGAACAUAUGUGUAAGUAACUGUGCACAUCUUGACGGUACCUAAUCAGAAAGCCACGGCUAACUACGUG
rnacentral:rRNA from 1 species